rnacentral:rRNA from 1 species
UACGUAGGGGGCAAGCGUUAUCCGGAUUUGCUGGGUGUAAAGGGGGCGCAGACGGCGAUGCAAGCCAGGAGUGAAAGCCCGGGGCCCAACCCCGGGACUGCUCUUGGAACUGCGUGGCUGGAGUGCAGGAGGGGCAGGCGGAAUUCCUGGUGUAGCGGUGAAAUGCGUAGAUAUCAGGAGGAACACCGGUGGCGAAGGCGGCCUGCUGGACUGCAACUGACGUUGAGGCCCGAAAGCGUGGGGAGCAAACAGG